rnacentral:rRNA from 1 species
GGCGAGUGGCGAACGGGUGAGUAAUAUAUCGGAACGUACCCAAGAGUGGGGGAUAACGUAGCGAAAGUUACGCUAAUACCGCAUACGAUCUAAGGAUGAAAGCAGGGGAUCUUCGGACCUUGCGCUCCUGGAGCGGCCGAUAUCUGAUAGCUAGUUGGUGAGGUAAAGGCUCACCAAGGCCACGAUCAGUAGCUGGUCUGAGAGGACGACCAGCCACACUGGAACUGAGACACGGUCCAGACUCCUACGGGAGGCAGCAGUGGGGAAUUUUGGACAAUGGGCGAAAGCCUGAUCCAGCAAUGCCGCGUGAGUGAAGAAGGCCUUCGGGUUGUAAAGCUCUUUUGUCAGGGAAGAAACGGUGAGGGCUAAUAUCCUUUACUAAUGACGGUACCUGAAGAAUAAGCACCGGCUAACUACGUGCCAGCAGCCGCGGUAAUACGUAGGGUGCAAGCGUUAAUCGGAAUUACUGGGCGUAAAGCGUGCGCAGGCGGUUUUGUAAGUCUGUCGUGAAAUCCCCGGGCUCAACCUGGGAAUUGCGAUGGAGA